UACAGAGGUCUCAAGCGUUGUUCGGAUUCAUUGGGCGUAAAAGGGCGCGUAGGCGGCGAGGUAAGUCGGGUGUGAAAUCUCAGAGCUCAACUCUGAAACUGCACUCGAUACUGCUUGCUAGAGGACUGGAGAGGAGAUUGGAAUUCACGGUGUAGCAGUGAAAUGCGUGAGAGAUGUGAGGAAGACCAGUGGCGGAAGGCGGAUCUCCGUGGA
rnacentral:rRNA from 1 species